rnacentral:rRNA from 1 species
AGGACGAACGCUGGCGGCGUGCUUAACACAUGCAAGUCGAGCGGAAAGGCCCUUCGGGGUACUUGAGCGGCGAACGGGUGAGUAACACGUGAGCAACCUGCCCCUGGCUCUGGGAUAGCUCCGGGAAACCGGGAUUAAUACCGGAUAUGACCCCCUUCUGCAUGGUGGGGGGUGGAAAGUUUUUCGGCUGGGGAUGGGCUCGCGGCCUAUCAGCUUGUUGGUGGGGUGAUGGCCUACCAAGGCGACGACGGGUA